AGAGUUAAACAGUACGUGAAAUUGUUGAAAGGGAAACGAUUGAAGCCAGUCGUACCGACGGAAAAUCAGCUUCUCGGGUGUCUAUCGUGGGUGAUGUUGAGCCUCACGGUCUUCGUCGCUUAUGUUAUUGGUGCCUUUGGGGUGUACUUUUUCGUAUGGUAGGUCAACAUCGAUUUUGAUCGUCAUAAAAUGAUCGGAGGAAUGUGGCUUCGAUUUCGAUCGGAGUGUUAUAGCCUUUGGUAGAUGUGACGAUUGGGAUCGAGGAUUGCAACGAAUACCCUUUGGGCUAUCCGUCUGACCUCUGGAAGUUGCUUGGGUGCUGAAAGCUUGCUUAUGGCUAUUCGAGUUGGCUGUCAAUAGGUUAGAACGUGAUUACAUUCGUUAAGGAUGUUGACGUAAUGGCUUUAAACGACC
rnacentral:rRNA from 1 species